UAUCUUAAUACAAAAUCGCAGUAUCCGUGCUAAUUUAGUGUGGAAAUUAUUAGUGUGAAAAUCACCUGAAGAAGUAGCUGAUCAACUGCAGCGAUUAAUAAUUUAUUUUGUUGGUACAUCGUGAUCGUGAUAAUUUGUUGAAGUACGCAAUGGAUGCACAUUAUCGGGCCAAGAUCAGAGAGACAGCCUUUCGACAUUUCUUCCCAACAACGGCAAUUCUACUGCUAAAUAUAAUAAUUAUCAUAACGUACAAUUACGAGCGGGACGAAGGAUUAUGGCCCAUAUUAAUCUACGACUUCCUGUCGGUGUUCGCCAUGUUCGCUGCUGCCGUACCACGCAAGAUCGGUGGCCAGAUAUUCUUGGGUGUAAUCACACUUCUGCACGGCUUGGUCUGGUUGCUGUCAUUGUUUUUUACAUUCGUUUACUUCAUGUCGACAUAUUUGAUGAUCGGAUUUGCUCAGCUAAGCGAAGAUAAGCGGUUUUUCAAUACCGAGAUGAACAGAGUAUUUUUACUUGGUGGGAUAUUUUUGUCGUUUCUGUAUUUAUGCUGGUUGUCCGUCAAGCAGAUUUUCUACUGCAUCAAAGCAAUGGUUAAAUAAUUAAACAAAGGGAUCAAUUAAUAAAA